rnacentral:lncRNA from 1 species
CGGGCGGACGCUGCCUGCGCGCCGGGCUGCUCUGCCAGCGCCGCUGGUCUAAUUAGAACCUGAUUGUGGCCUUGUCACCUCUGCAGUCAGUGACAGAUACAUUAUGUCCCACCACUGCUUAUGUGCCUGCUUUGUCUGACUUUCUGUGGAUUCCAGCAGCGAGUGACUUGUGACAUGCUUAUUUAAAGGGCUUCAUCACUCCCAUGUAUAAUACAGAGAUUUCUCUAGUGAUAAAAAGGGAUCUCUGGAUGGAGCAAAGCAGGGAAGACUAA